GCCCAGGCCCAGAACAAAAAAUGUUCAUUCGAUAAGUACACUUGCUGGAAGGAACACCUAAAACACAAAGCCGAAAAUGGCUCUCCCCUUGGCUCCCGAAAUUUUGGGAAUUGAAAUUAUCGGAAGAAGCCAGGGGACAAAUGAAACACAUCUCCUCGUCUAUAUUUGAAAUCCCACACAAAUCGAAACGAAAUGAGCAAUUUUAAGCAAACACAAACAGUUCCAUAAAACAGAAUGCUGGCUAAAAACUAUACUCCCAUCAUAAUCAUAACAUUCUCAACUCUUCAAAAUAUAAUACUAUUGAUACUACUAUGGAAUAACUGAAUAUGGAAUAUCUGAUGCUGAGAAUAGGGCUAAUGGAUGUAACCCUCGUCAUCGUCCGAAGACAAUACAAUAUUUACAAAGACUACAAGGAAAUCCCAUGGCAAGGCAAAAACUUAUAAAUAACACUAUCACCAAAUGUUAAACACCAUUUAUUUCUUUUUUUUCGCUACACUACUAUUUAAAUGUCGAAUUGUUACUAAGACUAUAAUUACUGUUACUUUAAAUAAACUAACAUAACCUUCACUUCAAACA